AUGGCGGGGUCGGCUGGUCGCAGGAAGAGAGUGCUGGAGCCGGGGGCCGGAGAGGCGGCUGAGGACCAGCAGGACUGUGGUGUCCUGUUGUUCUCUGACCGACCGGACCGGUGUCCUGUUCAGCCUGAUGAGACGGCGACCGUCCUGAGGAAGCGCUCGCCCCGGCUCCGGGACCUCUCCAGGACCCCCGCCAGCGAGAGCAUCUUCUGCUGCUCCCUGUGCUACAAGGCCUUCAUCUCCUCCUCCAGCCUGGAGGCUCAUCACAAGGCCAGCCACAAGACCUUCUCAUUCUCCUCCUCCUCCUCCAGCCUGGAGACCAACCACAAGGGCUCCUCCUCCUCCAGCCUGGAGACCAACCACAAGGCCUCUUCCUCCUCCUCCUCCUCCUCCUCCUCCAGCUUGAAGGCCCCCCUCCUGGGGGCCCGCCCCACCCAGAGACCCCACCCCUGCGCCGUCUGCUCCAGGAGCUUCCGCCGGCCCUGCCUGCUGCGGGAGCACCUGAAGAGCCACGGCCCGGGCCGGACCGGCCCGCCGGGACACGGCAGCGCUCAGGAACCAGUCAGCCAACCAGACGCCUCAGAACCCCGUGACCUCAGCACCAAGCCGUCUGCUGGUAACCACGGUGACCCCGCCGGCCGCCCAGAGGACGAAGAGGACAAGGCGGCGGAUCGCCGCGGCGAGGAAGACGUCAGCGGUUUGAUCAACUCCGACGGCGAGGAGGAGUACUGGGAGUCUCCGUCCAGAACCGGUGAGGGCCGGGUCAGAGCAUCCACACUAACGCUCCGACCCCAACCUGGUCAGUGGACCUUCAUGUCUAUCGGGAGCAGGGCUGCAUUUCAGAUCUAG
rnacentral:lncRNA from 1 species